AGAGUUUGAUCCUGGCUCAGAUUGAACGCUGGCGGCAUGCCUUACACAUGCAAGUCGAACGGUAACAGGGAGCUUACUCCGCUGACGAGUGGCGAACGGGUGAGUAAUAUAUCGGAACGUACCAUUCAGUGGGGGAUAACGUAGCGAAAGUUACGCUAAUACCACAUAUUCUGUGAGCAGGAAAGCAGGGGAUCGCAAGACCUUGCGCUGAUUGAGCGGCCGAUAUCAGAUUAGCUUGUUGGUGAGGUAAAAGCUCACCAAGGCGACGAUCUGUAGCGGGUCUGAGAGGAUGAUCCGCCACACUGGAACUGAGACACGGUCCAGACUCCUACGGGAGGCAGCAGUGGGGAAUUUUGGACAAUGGGGGCAACCCUGAUCCAGCCAUGCCGCGUGAGUGAAGAAGGCCUUCGGGUUGUAAAGCUCUUUCAGCCGGGAAGAAAACGCAUGGGUUAAUACCCUGUGUGGAUGACGGUACCGGAAUAAGAAGCACCGGCUAACUACGUGCCAGCAGCCGCGGUAAUACGUAGGGUGCGAGCGUUAAUCGGAAUUACUGGGCGUAAAGCGUGCGCAGGCGGUUUUGUAAGACAGGCGUGAAAUCCCCGGGCUUAACCUGGGAGCUGCGUUUGUGACUGCAAGGCUAGAGUACGGCAGAGGGGGGUGGAAUUCCACGUGUAGCAGUGAAAUGCGUAGAGAUGUGGAGGAACACCAAUGGCGAAGGCAGCCCCCUGGGUCGAUACUGACGCUCAUGCACGAAAGCGUGGGUAGCAAACAGGAUUAGAUACCCUGGUAGUCCACGCCCUAAACGAUGUCAACUAGGUGUUGGGAGGGUAAAACCUUUUAGUACCGGAGCUAACGCGUGAAGUUGACCGCCUGGGGAGUACGGCCGCAAGGUUAAAACUCAAAGGAAUUGACGGGGACCCGCACAAGCGGUGGAUGAUGUGGAUUAAUUCGAUGCAACGCGAAAAACCUUACCUACCCUUGACAUGCCAAGAACUUUCCAGAGAUGGAUUGGUGCCCGAAAGGGAACUUGGACACAGGUGCUGCAUGGCUGUCGUCAGCUCGUGUCGUGAGAUGUUGGGUUAAGUCCCGCAACGAGCGCAACCCUUGUCGUUAAUUGCCAUCAUUUAGUUGGGCACUUUAACGAGACUGCCGGUGACAAACCGGAGGAAGGUGGGGAUGACGUCAAGUCCUCAUGGCCCUUAUGGGUAGGGCUUCACACGUCAUACAAUGGUCGGUACAAAGGGUCGCCAAGCCGCGAGGUGGUGCCAAUCCCAGAAAGCCGAUCGUAGUCCGGAUCGCAGUCUGCAACUCGACUGCGUGAAGUCGGAAUCGCUAGUAACC
rnacentral:rRNA from 1 species